AGAGUUUGAUCAUGGCUCAGAUUGAACGCUGGCGGCAGGCCUAACACAUGCAAGUCGAACGGUAACAGGAAGCAGCUUGCUGCUUUGCUGACGAGUGGCGGACGGGUGAGUAAUGUCUGGGAAACUGCCUGAUGGAGGGGGAUAACUACUGGAAACGGUGGCUAAUACCGCAUAACGUCGCAAGACCAAAGAGGGGGACCUUCGGGCCUCUUGCCAUCAGAUGUGCCCAGAUGGGAUUAGCUUGUUGGUGAGGUAACGGCUCACCAAGGCGACGAUCCCUAGCUGGUCUGAGAGGAUGACCAGCCACACUGGAACUGAGACACGGUCCAGACUCCUACGGGAGGCAGCAGUGGGGAAUAUUGCACAAUGGGCGCAAGCCUGAUGCAGCCAUGCCGCGUGUAUGAAGAAGGCCUUCGGGUUGUAAAGUACUUUCAGCGGGGAGGAAGGUGUUGUGGUUAAUAACCACAGCAAUUGACGUUACCCGCAGAAGAAGCACCGGCUAACUCCGUGCCAGCAGCCGCGGUAAUACGGAGGGUGCAAGCGUUAAUCGGAAUUACUGGGCGUAAAGCGCACGCAGGCGGUCUGUCAAGUCGGAUGUGAAAUCCCCGGGCUCAACCUGGGAACUGCAUUCGAAACUGGCAGGCUUGAGUCUUGUAGAGGGGGGUAGAAUUCCAGGUGUAGCGGUGAAAUGCGUAGAGAUCUGGAGGAAUACCGGUGGCGAAGGCGGCCCCCUGGACAAAGACUGACGCUCAGGUGCGAAAGCGUGGGGAGCAAACAGGAUUAGAUACCCUGGUAGUCCACGCCGUAAACGAUGUCUACUUGGAGGUUGUGCCCUUGAGGCGUGGCUUCCGGAGCUAACGCGUUAAGUAGACCGCCUGGGGAGUACGGCCGCAAGGUUAAAACUCAAAUGAAUUGACGGGGGCCCGCACAAGCGGUGGAGCAUGUGGUUUAAUUCGAUGCAACGCGAAGAACCUUACCUGGUCUUGACAUCCACGGAAGUUUUCAGAGAUGAGAAUGUGCCUUCGGGAACCGUGAGACAGGUGCUGCAUGGCUGUCGUCAGCUCGUGUUGUGAAAUGUUGGGUUAAGUCCCGCAACGAGCGCAACCCUUAUCCUUUGUUGCCAGCGGUCCGGCCGGGAACUCAAAGGAGACUGCCAGUGAUAAACUGGAGGAAGGUGGGGAUGACGUCAAGUCAUCAUGGCCCUUACGACCAGGGCUACACACGUGCUACAAUGGCGCAUACAAAGAGAAGCGACCUCGCGAGAGCAAGCGGACCUCAUAAAGUGCGUCGUAGUCCGGAUUGGAGUCUGCAACUCGACUCCAUGAAGUCGGAAUCGCUAGUAAUCGUGGAUCAGAAUGCCACGGUGAAUACGUUCCCGGGCCUUGUACACACCGCCCGUCACACCAUGGGAGUGGGUUGCAAAAGAAGUAGGUAGCUUAACCUUCGGGAGGGCGCUUACCACUUUGUGAUUCAUGACUGGGGUGAAGUCGUAACAAGGUAACCGUAGGGGAACCUGCGGUUGGAUCACCU
rnacentral:rRNA from 1 species